rnacentral:lncRNA from 1 species
UUAAUACUUUUUUUAGUAAAGGAACAAAAUCUAGUUGUACUUGUUGGUAUACCAUCAGACGAACAUAUUAAUUAGAUGGCAUCCUAAAAGCUCUUUUAUCUUUUAAUUGAAAAUCUUAAAAGUUCUUUCCCUCCAUCAAUAAGUAGGACACAACUAUAACCCGUUAACCACAAUUAUUAGAGGCUAAGGUAACAUAACCAUAUGAUGCUAGAUCUCAAAUGAAAAAAUAAGUCAGAUACUACUGGCUAAUAUAGCAAGCAGUAUCGAUACCUACCAAUUUGAUUGGAGACAUUGCAAGCUCCCUGCCUCUUCAAUGAGGCUACUUUUGCUCUCUAAAAUCUCAAUGAGAUCCUUAAGAACACUAAACUCAAGUGACAUGGAAUUUGCAUCAUGGAAUCUGCAAAUAAAAUUCGUAAUAUAAAUAUCUCUGUUAGUAUCAAACACCAAAAUGCAAAUAUAAAAUAGUAAACUAAACUACAAAUUGAUCUUCCAAGAAACAUAAAAUCAGUGAUCAAACAGCCAAUUUAUAAGUUUCUUAUGCCAUUUCAAGUAGUAAACUACAAAUUGAUCUUCCAUCUAGAUAUAAUUAGUAUCAAACAGAAGAUACAAAUUCUGAUCCCAUGAAAAAAGGCUACAACAUACACUAACUAACCCAACAGCAAAGAAAAUUAUGGUGGCAAAUAUUCAGUAGAAGGCAUUUUUGUUUAAAGGAAAACACAUGUUCUAUAUGGGUUAGUGCAAAAAAAUUCUCUUUCACUAACCCAACAGCAAAAAAAAUUAUGGUGGCAAAUAUUCAGUAGAAGGCAUUUUUGUUUAAAGGAAAACACAUGUUCUAUAUGGGUUAGUGCAAAAAAAAUUCUCUUUCAUAAAUCUAUUUUAUCUUUCAGUUUUUUAAUUUAUGAGCAAAAAAUUAUUCACGCUAAAAUAGAAUAUGAUAAAUACUCGAUCACACUAAAAUAAAACAGUAGAAACAUCACAUAAUAUUUUUCAGUAUCUCUUACAAAAUUGAGAUGUUGUGAGAAGCUUAAUGACAAAGGGAGCACAAUUUAAAAAACUGGUGGCAGACUAACUCAUGAUGUGAGAAGCAUCACAUAAGUUGUACCUUUCACACCAUCAACUAUUUUUACAAGUCUUUCUUCUAAUUAUUAUAGCUACAAAAACAAAACGUGUCCUAAAUUACUAAUUAAAAAGAUUUUACAAUUGUCUUCAAAUUGCAUUAUCCAACAAUAAUUAGAAGAAAGACUUGUUAAAGGUACAACAUAUUGCAGCUUAAUGCAUUGCAAUAUAUUUGGGGUGACUAUCAAGUGCUUCAACUUGAUCAAGUGCUUCAAGUUGAUGAACACUGAGUGUAGCUGCACGAAACUCAUCAAAAUCCAUCCUUCUAUAUUGCAAUGCAUUAAGCUCUAACCCAAAUUCAUUUUAAUCAGCGAGCACUAUUGGUGCAAAUGCUAUUUAUAUAUUGUAUGGAAGUAUUGGUACAGUUAAAUCAUAGAACUUACUGAUCCAAAAAAGUCAAUAGUGUGCGACUCCAUAGCAUUAGUUGCGUUUUUCAUCGAGGCCUGACCAUGUCAGAUUUGUGAGAUGGCAAACACAAUCAUCUUAACCAAUUGAUUUGNNNNNNNNNNNNNNNNNNNNNNNNNNNNNNNNNNNNNNNNNNNNNNNNNNNNNNNNNNNNNNNNNNNNNNNNNNNNNNNNNNNNNNNNNNNNNNNNNNNNNNNNNNNNNNNNNNNNNNNNNNNNNNNNNNNNNNNNNNNNNNNNNNNNNNNNNNNNNNGGGAAAGAGAGAAAGAGAGAGAUAAAAGAAAUCAAGUAAUGAUCUGAUUUUUAAAAUAUGCAUUUAAACGUUACACAACUAACCUCAAAUGGAUAACUCUGCAUAAUGCCGAUUGAUAGGUAAAUGGACACAGUUCUACGGAUCCAACAGCGGCGGUGGAAUCCAUCACCACUGUCGCCUCAUUUCUCUUCUUUUCUCUAUUGAUCUGGCAUCCUUCUCUGUGACCGUCCCUGUCGUCGCCACCCUCUUCUCCUUCUUCCAUCGUUCUUUGUUUCUUCACCAUUGUUGUUUUCUUCUUCUCUUCUCUGCGACAUCGAAAGAGGAAGUCUUUCCCUCAUAUGGUGCCAACUACUCCCCCUUUCAAAACUUGCAGCGCGCUCUCUCAUAUCUUCUCUUCUUGUUAACAAUAAAAAUGCAGCUGCAAGUCCUGGAAUAAAACCAUUUCCAAUUUGAAUUUGAAUCAAAAUCCCGUCCAAUUACUUGUUUAUUUGAGAACUGCCAGGUUCCUAAUUUUAAGAGCAAAUACUCUAUUUCAGUCUUGAAUUUUUGUCGAGUCUUUGAUUUAUUCUUGAAUUUCCAACUGCAAUAAAUAAAACAUACUGUUUUUGACUAUACACAUGCAUAUUUGUGUCAUUAUAAUAAUUUUAAGCAUCAACUGUAUUUUUAAAACAAACAAAUAAAAAACAAAAAUAAUGAACACCAAAAAAGGAAACAUUAUUAAUUAGAUGGCAUCCUAAACAAAAUGAUGUAAUUAUAGCAGCAUUUGUCACACAAUUCAUAUAUAAACUCCAUAUGUCCACAACAUGUAAUGAUUUAAAAUUGAGGCUAAUAAUUCAAUCAUUUCCAUUUAGAGAUAGAAAAGAAUAGCAUAUUUCCAACUGAACUUCUCUAGUACUGAUUAUAUCAAAGGUUCACAAUUUAAUUUAGUAUUGAAAGAAAGAUCUUUAGUUGUAGUUGAGAAAGAAAGAAUAUGAAGUUUAUCUCCUAAAGCAGCAAAAUGAAAAUCAUUAUGGUUACUUCCAAAAUCUUCAAUGGCAGUAGCGAACGCCACGUCCCUUUCAUAUAUGCCUCCUAAUCCUUUCUAAAAACUUAAAAAAAUAUCAAUAUUUAAUCAGAGAAUAAAUUUAUAAAAUAUCAAUAAAUUUGAUAAUUUGGAGUUUGGACACUAAUUAAUACUUCAUUUAUUCAUUUUUUUAUCACUUUGCAUUAAAAAUCUUAGAAUCACUAAUGAAGAGAAACAAUUAGAAUAAUUUUCAAUACUUUUAUAAAUUAAAAGCAUAAUGAUACUUCAACAAUAAAUUAAAAGCAUAAUUCUUUCUCAUGACCUGUGAAGAGUACAAUUAGACUAUCAAUUUGCAGACCAAGCACAUACUUAGAGAAAAAGACCAAUAUCCCAUGGAAAACGAAGCCAUUCCAAUUUCAUUAUACAUGCAUAUUAAGGAGAAGCUACCAGAAAUACCUCUUCCAUGGUAGUGGCAAUAUUAAGUCUCUGUGCAAUUCACUGAGAACAAUUUCAGCAGCUUGAUCAGCAUCAUUUGGAUUUUCAAUAGCCACCGCCUUAAGUGUUCUGGUAUGAACAAAAAUUCUUUAAAAUGAUGGGCCAGAGUGUUCAUUUUGGAAUCCGGCCAGAGUGUUCAUUUUGGAAUCCUGAAAGAGACAUACUUACAUGAUGGUCGCAUGCACAGAUUAAUGCACACAAAAAUACUUAGGAAUUUGGCAAUCAUAGGCUAAAAGAACUCUUUCAAGCUUGUUUUCAUGUAAAUGGAAACAACCAAUGUUAGUUUCUGAAAAUUUGGAAGGGAACCAAUCACAGUAUUAACCAACUAAUAUCAGAAAUUGUUCAGGUGAAAUUAGUAGUCUUUUGUAAGGAUUUUGAGGUGAAAAUCUCAACAUAUAAAGCUACUCAUUUAUCUAAAAACAUGCAGUUACUGUCUGUUUAACAUGCAUAUAGAAUGUCCAUCACUUAAUAAUAUUUCCUUUUUUUUAAUUAGUUAAUUAUUUAAUUAUUUGAAUGUAUUCAAUCCACAAUUGAAAAUUUGCAGCUAGAAUACAGAAUAAAUAACACCAGAUCACAGAGUGGCAAUUAUUAUACUUAAAAUCCAACAAUAGAUUACCAUAAUUCAAUUAUAUUUUCAAAUUUUAAAGGUAAAGAGCAAUACCUGGGGGAAUAUAUCUUGCAAGCAAGCUCCAAUACACCGAAUUGAAACCCAUUAUCAACGAAAAUUAUCUAUAAAGUUUAUUUUUAAAAAAAAAAAGUGGGUUAAACAUAAUGAAGAGGAGAAUCAUUUUAAUAACGAUAAUAGAAUCAUGUGAUCAUGAAGUUACAGAUAGAGAUACACAAAAUACACAAAAAAUAAGUGGUCAAAACCCCAAUGAUUGCAAGAUUACAGUACACAAUUUAUUCAAAUCAUCAAUGUGCAAAAUUCACUCAUAAAUCCUAAAAAAAAAAUCUCUUCCUCGCAAAAAACGACCAUGCAGAUAAAAAAUGCAGAAGACAGAAUAAAAAGAGCAUAUUUUUCCCAUAAAUUGAGAAGUUCUUUUAUCUUUUAAUUGAAAAUCUUAAAAGUUCUUUUCCUCCAUCAAUAAGUAGGACACAACUAUAACCUGUUAACCACAAUUAUUAGGAAGCUAAGGUAACAUAACCAUAUGAUGCUAGAUCUACAGUUUAUAAUUUAACCAACCAAUAAAGCAAGCAAACAACAUAACCAUAUGCAACGGUCUCAGCAACAAAAACAACA